rnacentral:rRNA from 1 species
GUGAGAUGUUGGGUUAAGUCCCGCAACGAGCGCAACCCUCGCCAUUAGUUGCCAUCAUUCAGUUGGGCACUCUAGUGGGACUGCCGGUGAUAAGCCGGAGGAAGGUGGGGAUGACGUCAAGUCAUCAUGGCCCUUACGGGCUGGGCUACACACGUGCUACAAUGGCGGUGACAAUGCGCAGCCACCUAGCAAUAGGGAGCUAAUCGCAAAAAGCCGUCUCAGUUCGGAUUGGGCUCUGCAACUCGAGCCCAUGAAGUCGGAAUCGCUAGUAAUCGCGCAUCAGCAUGGCGCGGUGAAUACGUUCCCGGGCCUUGUACACACCGCCCGUCACACCAUGGGAGUUGGCUUUACCCGAAGACGGUGCGCUAACCGCAAGGAGGCAGCCGGCCACGGUAAGGUCAGCGACUGGGGUGAAGUCGUAACAAGGUAA